GGCGGAGGCUGGAUCAGGGGAUUGAACAUCCUUGUAUCGGUGGUUCGAUUCCGCCGCGGGCCACCA
rnacentral:tRNA from 1 species